AGUGAACGCUGGCGGUAGGCCUAACACAUGCAAGUCGAACGGCAGCACAGUAAGAGCCUGCUCUUACGGUUGGCGAGUGGCGGACGGGUGAGGCAUACAUCGGAAUCUACUUUUUCGUGGGUGAUAACGUAGGGACACUUACGCUACUACCGCAUACGACCUACGGGUGAAAGCAGGAGAUCUUCGCACCUUUCCCGAUUGAUUGAGCCGGUGUCGGAUUAGCUAGUUGGCGUGGUAAAGUCCCACCAAGGCGACGAUGCGUAGCCGAGCUGAGAGGAUGAUCGGCCACACUGGAACUGAGACACGGUCCAGACUCCUACGGGAGGCAGCAGUAGGGAAUAUUGCGCAAUGGGCGAAAGCCUGACGCAGCAACACCGCGUGAGUGAAGAAGGUCUUCGGAUUGUAAAACUCUUUUAUUAGGGAAGAAAAGAAGCGGGUGUAAACCCCCACGUCUUGACGGUACCUAAAGAAAAAGCACCGGCUAACUUCGUG
rnacentral:rRNA from 1 species